UACGGAAGGUGCAAGCGUUAGUCGGAAUGACUGGGCGUAAAGGGUGCGUAGGCGGCAAUGUAAGUCGGACGUGAAAUUCCAGAGCUUAACUCUGGAGCUGCAUCCGAAACUACAUUGCUUGAGGAAUGGCGGAGAAAAUGGAAUUCCAUAUGUAGCGGUGAAAUGCGUAGAUAUAUGGAAGAACACCUGUGGCGAAAGCGGUUUUCUAGCCUUUUCCUGACGCUGAGGCACGAAAGCAAGGGGAGCAAAC
rnacentral:rRNA from 1 species